rnacentral:rRNA from 1 species
AUUGAACGCUGGCGGCAUGCUUUACACAUGCAAGUCGAACGGUAACAGGCCUUCGGGUGCUGACGAGUGGCGAACAGGUGAGUAAUGCAUCGGAACGUACCCAGAGGUGGGGGAUAACGCAGCGAAAGCUGUGCUAAUACCGCAUGUGAUCUGAGGAUGAAAGCGGGGGACCGAGCAGCAAUGUUUGGCCUCGCGCCUUUGGAGCGGCCGAUGUCGGAUUAGCUAGUUGGUGGGGUAAAGGCCUACCAAGGCGACGAUCCGUAGCUGGUCUGAGAGGACGACCAGCCACACUGGGACUGAGACACGGCCCAGACUCCUACGGGAGGCAGCAGUGGGGAAUUUUGGACAAUGGGCGCAAGCCUGAUCCAGCAAUGCCGCGUGCGGGAAGAAGGCCUUCGGGUUGUAAACCGCUUUUGGCAGGAACGAAACGGUGUCCGCUAAUACCGGGCGCUAAUGACGGUACCUGCAGAAUAAGCACCGGCUAACUACGUG